GGAUACAUGGAUGCAUGGAAGAAUGCACAGACAGAAUCCCCAGUGUGACACAGGCUCACCAAUGGCUGACUGGUUGAAUAGGCUGUGGGACCUCAAGCCAGUCACCUCACCUGCCUGAGCCCGAGGUUUCUCACCUGCAAAAUGAGGGAUGAAAGCGGAUCUCAUGUGGGAAAGGAGCCACUCCAAGGAGAGACUCAAACAUGACUGCCCUUGAGCUGGGCACUGACAGGGCACAUCUGGACAGAGGAGGGGCUCAGUCUGCCUCUGCAGAGUCCCCAGCAAGAGGAAGAAGGCUCCAAUUGCAGCAGAGUGGACUUCAAUUAGUCUCAAGAAAGAACUUCCUGCAGAGGCAUUAAGCAUGAACAGCAUACAGAGAAGGGGGGCAUGAUGAGGGCAACUGUAGCAUCUCCUCUGAAAUACAGGAUGCUGUCUCAUUCAUUAUGUCAUUUUACUUUCAAACCAGCCUGGAAGGUAAUCCCAGGAAGUCCUUCCUACAAAUGCAUUUUAUAGGAGAAACAACUCGUGCUCAAAGAGAUAAAAUGAUUCUUCCAGGGUCAUCCUGCCAAUGAGGAAACUGAGGCUCCGAGAAGACACGCAGGGAGCAGCUGCAUGCUGGAACCCAGGAGAUUUGGUCACAAGCCUGGGAAGAGCUGAGCCUGUCAGACCAGCAGCCCACACUUCCUCCCCACCUGCCUUUCCGCCUUCCUCAUGCCCUGAAAGCAGAAUGUCACAGAUGGAGAGAUGGUGUGGGUUGGUGGGAAGUGAGAGGCCUGUGGAGUCCACUGGUCCUGGGGUCUGCCCAAGCUCUCCUCCUUGCCAGCUACCUUUGGAGAGGAGCUACUCCUCUCUCAGCUCAUUCAGUGCUGAUCUCACAGAGGUCCAAAGUCAGCAACAUGGGCACCACCUCCAGGAAGGCUUCCCUGACUCCCCUCCCCACCCAGCGCCGGGCAACCCCAGGCCCCUGGCCUUCCCUGUCACAUUCUGUGUUGUCACUGCUUCUGUGUCCUCCCAACCCUACCAGGCUGUUCAUUCAUUCAUUCCACGGAGCAGCUGCCCUUUGCCUGGGAUUCAUUCCAAACGCCUUUCCUGAGCACCUGUUUUCUCUAAGAUCCUCUGUGAGGUGCUGGAGAUACAGAUCAUAACAGCUAACCUGCACUGAGUGCUCAUUAUGUGCUGGGCAUUUUUUUGAGUGCUUUACACGUAUAAUUCAUUUCACCCUCACAACUCUAUGAUGAAGAUGCUGUAAUUAUCCCCAUUUUACAUAUGGGGAAACUAAAGCCCAAAGAGGUUAAAUCACUUGCCCAAGUCAUUUAGCCCUACCCUGUGCCACCAGCCACAGAUACUGAUGGGACCGGCCCCUGCCUCAGGAGCCUGCUUCUCACAAUUUGGAAGUUUUGCAUCUGUGUGUUUCCUUGUCUAAUGCUGUUUCCCCCACAGACCAGAAUCUCCAACCAUGUUACAUUUCGGUUGGAUGUGUGUGUGAGCAGCACCAAAUAAAUGCUGCUUCCCUUUAAGGAAGAACUCACACUCUCUGCCCAGCAUCUGCUAGCUGGACGCCAGACGGCUUCUCCCACCUGGGUCAUUUCUUCUGCGUAGGCCUGAGAAGAAAACCCAAGUCCCCAGAUAUCCCAGUCCUGCUCCCUCCCCUGAACCUAGCUCGGGACCCUUCCAGGCCAACAGCACCUGCUUACACACCACUGUUCACAGGGAAGGUGGUGGGAACUGUGAAUCUGCAAACCCCAGCUAAGUCCCCCUAAGGGAAGGCCUCCCUGCCAUCUGGCACGCCCUCCCUCCAGCCAUCACUCACUGGACUCUUCCAUCAGCUUCUUACUGAGUUGCUCGUUCACGAAGCCAUCGAGGGGAUGGGCAAGAAGACUCAUGCUGAUGGAGUACCCACCUGUGUGCCAGGCCUGGACAGGCACCCCACUUCCUUCAUCUCAUUUAAUAACAGUUAUUAUCAGCCCCAAUGUACAGGGAAAAAACAGAGGUGCAAAAGUUGAGCAAGUUGUCCAUGGGGCAGCUUGCACUGCCUCCCCUGGCCCGGAGGGUGUGGCUCUGUGCCAGGCACACUGCUAGGCACUCAGAGGGAGGGGAGGAUUCGGUGGGGGCACAUAGAAUCUAGUUUUGACAAGCCAGCAAGGGAAGCAGACCAAGCAGAACCCCAAUCCACAGACCACAGUCAGUGUGCAGAGGGCCAUGAAUCAGCAGCAGAGGAGGCUUGGAUCCCACCUGCAUGGGAGGAGUACUGGAAGCUUAUAGCAGGCAGCAUCUUUGGACCUGGUUGAACUCCUUACUGCUCUUUCCCAUGGUCACAGCAGGAGAAAGGGUAAGCCUUGGCCUACAAAGCUCUGGUGCCCAGUGUGUGUUUGCCACCACCCCAAAGGGGGCAAAGGGAGGAGAAGCUGGCUGCCCUGCCAGUGACCCCGCUGUGGCCCGGCCAGCCUGCCUCCAGUCCCGCCAACUUGGCCUGGCCUGGCCCAGCCAGUUCCCAAUCACAGGGUCUCCUCUGCCAGCUAAUGACCAUGCUGCCUGCAGCUCAGGCCACCACCCUCCUUUGGGCGAGGCAGCUACCCACACAGCCUGCUGGCCCAGACAGUGGCCAGGCCAAAAAUCACAGCUGCCCGUCAUACCACAUCCUCUGGCCCUGGUGCUGUGGUCUCCUCCUCCUCCCUCCAGGGUCACGAAAGACGAUGUAGAAAGCUGGAGCUACAGGGGAGCUCAGAACCCACCCUGCUCCCCAUAGACAUGGACACACGGGACCCCAGAGAGGGGCCGACUCACCCCAGGUCACACAGACAACCAGCCAGCCUGUGCACGGCCUAGGGCCCAGGUCCUUCCUGGGCCCCAUGCUCAGUCCAACACUGCCCUUCCUUAGCCUUGAGAAAAAACCUUGUCCAGGCUUUUUACACACAAAGUAUGCUUUCAAGGUACUUGGGUGGAGGUGAGGAGACAGGACAUCUUCUAAGCACAGAUUUACAAUUCAAACAGAUGCAGCUUGGCUCCCUGCUCCCUACCUUUGAGCUGUGUGACCUCGGGCAAGAUCAGGUACCUCUCUGAGCCCCAGUUUCUAGGGGAUAACAGUAGCUACCUCAGGGAGUUUGUGUGAACAAGAGUGUCUAUAAAACAUUUAGCACAUUGUCUGGCUCAUAGUAAGUACUCAAGAUAUCAGCUGUUGUUGAUAUCAUCACUGUAGUAUUGUGUGGAUACAUUUUACAAACUGCAAAAUGUUAUGGAUAGUAGGUAUUAUUUUUUACUAUUACUGCUGAAUGUUAAAGAUUCAGAGGGGGCAUGACCAGAGGGUUGGGUAAUCCAGGAAUGUUUCUGAGGGAAUUUAUGACCUCAGUCAGGUCUUGACAGGUGGGGAGGUAAGUGGAGCAGAGGCAGGGAUGGCGGUUCUGAUGGGAGGAACCACAAACAAAGGGGCUGUGAUGGGGCCACAUGUGGUGUGUUUAGGAGACAGUGCAGA